UCUGACGUUAGCGGCGGACGGGUGAGUAACACGUGGAUAACCUACCUAUAAGACUGGGAUAACUUCGGGAAACCGGAGCUAAUACCGGAUAAUAUAUUGAACCGCAUGGUUCAAUAGUGAAAGACGGUUUUGCUGUCACUUAUAGAUGGAUCCGCGCCGCAUUAGCUAGUUGGUAAGGUAACGGCUUACCAAGGCAACGAUGCGUAGCCGACCUGAGAGGGUGAUCGGCCACACUGGAACUGAGACACGGUCCAGACUCCUACGGGAGGCAGCAGUAGGGAAUCUUCCGCAAUGGGCGAAAGCCUGACGGAGCAACGCCGCGUGAGUGAUGAAGGUCUUCGGAUCGUAAAACUCUGUUAUUAGGGAAGAACAAAUGUGUAAGUAACUAUGCACGUCUUGACGGUACCUAAUCAGAAAGCCACGGCUAACUACGUGCCAGCAGCCGCGGUAAUACGUAGGUGGCAAGCGUUAUCCGGAAUUAUUGGGCGUAAAGCGCGCGUAGGCGGUUUUUUAAGUCUGAUGUG
rnacentral:rRNA from 1 species